GGCUCGGUAGCUUAGUUGGUAAAGCGCUCGUCUAGCAUACAAGAGUCCCGGGUUCAAAUACCAGCUGAGCAC
rnacentral:tRNA from 1 species